CUGACAUCAUAUAGCAUUAACUAUGUAUAUAUAAAAUUCCAUGGUACACUGACAUAUGCGCAGUAUAACUUACGGAACAGUAGACGAAGCCAGCGACGUCAUCGGGGUCGGCGCGGAAGCAGCAGUCGCAGUCGCAGAUCUCAGGGACCUUAUUACACGUAGCGACAGUGGCCUCGUGAGCGCAGGUCCUGAGGUCUUGGUCCCAGGCCGUUCCAGGAGGGCAGUCCCUUAGGAUAGGCCCUGUUAGGGUGCACUGUAUGUACUGAUGACAGUUGGUAGGAUGCGGGAUGAACUGGACCAAAGAGGGAUCUUGACACCGGAUCGGAUGGCCGUCAAUGAGGAGGCAGGAAGGCAGGGAACAUCCCUCGGCGCCGGCAGCGAUGGCCAGAA